CCUACGGUGUGCAGCAGUGAGGAAUAUUGGUCAAUGGGCGCGAGCCUGAACCAGCCAAGUCGCGUGAGGGAGGACGGCCCUACGGGUUGUAAACCUCUUUUGCCGGGGAGCAACGGGCGCCACGUGUGGCGUCACUGGGAGUACCCGGAGAAAAAGCAUCGGCUAACUCCGUGCCAGCAGCCGCGGUAAUACGUAGGGGGCAAGCGUUAUCCGGAUUUACUGGGUGUAAAGGGGGCGCAGACGGCAAUGCAAGCCAGGAGUGAAAGCCCGGGGCCCAACCCCGGGACUGCUCUUGGAACUGCAUGGCUGGAGUACAGGAGGGGCAGGCGGAAUUCCUAGUGUAGCGGUGAAAUGCGUAGAUAUUAGGAGGAACACCGGUGGCGAAGGCGGCCUGCUGGACUGUGACUGACGUUGAGGCCCGAAGGCGUGGGGAGCAAACAGGAUUAGAUACCCGAGUAGUC
rnacentral:rRNA from 1 species